rnacentral:tRNA from 1 species
UCCAGGGUAGCCUAGUGGACAUGGCAUCUGCCCGGUAAACGGAGCACUGUGGGUUCGAUUCCCAUCCCUGGAU